CGGCGGACGGGUGAGUAACACGUGGAUAACCUACCUAUAAGACUGGGAUAACUUCGGGAAACCGGAGCUAAUACCGGAUAAUAUAUUGAACCGCAUGGUUCAAUAGUGAAAGACGGUUUUGCUGUCACUUAUAGAUGGAUCCGCGCCGCAUUAGCUAGUUGGUAAGGUAACGGCUUACCAAGGCAACGAUGCGUAGCCGACCUGAGAGGGUGAUCGGCCACACUGGAACUGAGACACGGUCCAGACUCCUACGGGAGGCAGCAGGC
rnacentral:rRNA from 1 species